GUGAAGCCGGGCCAGUAACACCUAAGCAGGCAGUGCAGGUCGAAAUAGAUUUAUUAUGUAACCUGUGCACUGCAAAGCUGUGAUACUUUAAAAUGAUAAUAAUCACCGUUACGGUGGCAGUAGUCGGAUCUUGGUUUUGGCUGAAUAGGGAGGGAUUUUACCCAAACGAACAACUGCUCUAACAGGCGGACCCUCGUCUGUUCUGACAGAGCUGCCGCUGCCAGAGAAGGCAGACAGGCAGUCAGAAAGGCAGGUGGAUCGGCGGGCAAACAGGCGGAGGUGCUGAACCCAAAAGCUGCUCGGCAUCCUCUCCCAGCAAGGAGCACUGACUCAAAAGAAGGAUCCUGAGAGCCAGCGUCCGCCUCACUCCCAGACCCUUGUGGACAGAGCUCAUCCCAGAGCACUAAGGGCGAGAAGUCCGGCUGUGUUUCGCUGGAUUCCCGAAGAGCAGCUCUCUGCUCAGGAUGGACGGUCUCAAGGCUGAUACCUCACCGAUUGCUACCCGAGCCCCCCUGACAGGACAUGUGUGGUAAUGGGCUGCUAGGUCCCAGACCUGUCACUGUGGAACCCUGCAGGGUGCACUCACAUAUGCAUCAUCACCAUCUGCCCUAAAAAUCAAUAUAGUUUCAAGAUGUAAAUAGUUUAAACAAGUUUGUGGCUAAAUAUAUUGCAAUUUAGGCUAAGAUUAUAUGUCAGAUAUUUGACGUGCAUCUACAGGAUUGUAUAAGAUACCAUUGCACUUACAGUAAAUAUACUAUGAACAAUGAUGGUUGAAGUGAAUGUGUGGGGCCGUCCAAUAAAAUAGCAAGCUGGGGCAUAAACACGAGGAGAAAGAUGAGUGGAAAAAAAAGAAUCAUAACAGAGGUUAUUAUAAACAAAUAAAAGGGAAAAAAAUAUUAGACAAGCGCUGAGAGGAGACCGCAGAGGGAUGGCACAAUCACAUAGAUCAGAUCUAGUAUUCACAGGUCCGACUGGAUAGGAGGUGAGAAUCCAGGGUCAGGCUCCGACACGACUCUCUGACUUCUAAUUUGGAGAUUCUCAUUUUCAGGUCCCAAACCGAGGGCAAGAAAUCGUACCUGUGAGAAGCCUUCAGGCAGAACAGGGAGAGGUGUGGAAGAAUCUGUUUCUGUCAGAGACGAGGAUGCUCAACUACAUGUCUUUGUUCCAUCUAUUCACUGAAUCAUUGGAGUUGUAACUAUAUGCACUUGGAAGAACCUGUGGCUGAAGUACUUCACAUUUAGAGUUUCACACAAGCACUGAAGAAACCAUUGCUAAAAUCAUGCCUUUGUAUAUGAAAUGCAUUUGGAAAAUACAGUAUGAAAGUAUGGUGAUAUUAUUUACUUUUAUAACAAUAAAAAAAUAUGAACACAAACAGACCAGACCAACAAUAAAAUGACCUUUU